ACCUGCCUCCAACCGCCGCUGCCUCCAUCCACCGGAACCCGCCUCCGCCCGCCGUUGCCUCCAACCGUCGCCGCCUCUACCCACCUGAACUCACCUCCACCCGCCAAAACCCCACCUCCAGCCGUCGCCGUCUUUACCCACCAGAACUCGCCUCCACUCUCUGCUGCCUCCACCCACCAAAACCCACCUCCAGCCGUCGCCGCCUCUACCCACCUGAACUCACCUCCACUCGCUGCCGCCUCCACCCACUAGAAACCACCUCCAGCAGCCGCCGCUUCCACCAACCAGAAUCCACCUCAUUGAAACCCUCUCCACCUCUCUCUCUUUCACUCCUCUACCGCUGCAAAACUCUAGGUUAGAUCUCUC
rnacentral:lncRNA from 1 species